GCUUACGGCCAUACCACCCUGAAUGCGCCCGAUCUCGUCCGAUCUCGGAAGCUAAGCUGGGUCAGGCCUGGUUAGUACUUGGAUGGGAGACCGCCUAGGAAUACCAGGUGUUGUAAGCU
rnacentral:rRNA from 1 species